rnacentral:rRNA from 1 species
AGAGUUUGAUCCUGGCUCAGGACGAACGCUGGCGGCGCGCCUAACACAUGCAAGUCGAACGAGCGAGAGAGAGCUUGCUUUCUCGAGCGAGUGGCGAACGGGUGAGUAACGCGUGAGGAACCUGCCUCAAAGAGGGGGACAACAGUUGGAAACGACUGCUAAUACCGCAUAAGCCCACGGCUCGGCAUCGAGCAGAGGGAAAAGGAGCAAUCCGCUUUGAGAUGGCCUCGCGUCCGAUUAGCUAGUUGGUGAGGUAACGGCCCACCAAGGCGACGAUCGGUAGCCGGACUGAGAGGUUGAACGGCCACAUUGGGACUGAGACACGGCCCAGACUCCUACGGGAGGCAGCAGUGGGGAAUAUUGCACAAUGGGGGAAACCCUGAUGCAGCGACGCCGCGUGGAGGAAGAAGGUCUUCGGAUUGUAAACUCCUGUUGUUGAGGAAGAUAAUGACGGUACUCAACAAGGAAGUGACGGCUAACUACGUGCCAGCAGCCGCGGUAAAACGUAGGUCACAAGCGUUGUCCGGAAUUACUGGGUGUAAAGGGAGCGCAGGCGGGAAGACAAGUUGGAAGUGAAAUCCAUGGGCUCAACCCAUGAACUGCUUUCAAAACUGUUUUUCUUGAGUAGUGCAGAGGUAGGCGGAAUUCCCGGUGUAGCGGUGGAAUGCGUAGAUAUCGGGAGGAACACCAGUGGCGAAGGCGGCCUACUGGGCACCAACUGACGCUGAGGCUCGAAAGUGUGGGUAGCAAACAGGAUUAGAUACCCUGGUAGUCCACACCGUAAACGAUGAUUACUAGGUGUUGGAGGAUUGACCCCUUCAGUGCCGCAGUUAACACAAUAAGUAAUCCACCUGGGGAGUACGACCGCAAGGUUGAAACUCAAAGGAAUUGACGGGGGCCCGCACAAGCAGUGGAGUAUGUGGUUUAAUUCGA